rnacentral:lncRNA from 1 species
CUAAAACUCUUCAUGCUGAACUAAAUACUUUGUUGCACAACCACUUUCUUAUCUCAUGCACACCCUCUCCUUAGCACCCAAAAAGAUCUCAUCUGAUUUAAUCUAAGGCAUUGAAAUUAAAUCAAAAAUUGGAAAGGUGGGGAGAUAAGGAUGUGAUGCAAGAAAGAAAUAUCUUCUCACCAUAAGCGCACGUCCACUUUUCCUCAAACUUUUGUCACACA